GCUUUCAACAUCCCCGUUCCGGGGCGUGGUUUUUCUUCCCAGAACAACUUCGCGGCCGGAACUGAAGGC
rnacentral:sRNA from 12 species